rnacentral:rRNA from 1 species
UACGGGGGGGGCGAAGCGUUGUUCGGAAUUACUGGGCGUAAAGGGCGUGUAGGCGGCCAACUAAGUCCGACGUGAAAUCCCCAGGCUUAACCUGGGAACUGCGUCGGGUACUGGAUGGCUUGAAUCCGGGAGAGGGAUGCGGAAUUCCAGGUGUAGCGGUGAAAUGCGUAGAUAUCUGGAGGAACACCGGUGGCGAAGGCGGCAUCCUGGACCGGCAUUGACGCUAAAGCGCGAAAGCCAGGGGAGCAAACGGG